rnacentral:lncRNA from 1 species
GUGUACUGAGAAUAACUCAGUAUCCCUACAUGGAAAGGUUUUCUUAGAUGGGGAAUUAUAAACCUAUUGAGAAAUAUUGUGUCAAUUACUUUUGUAUGUAGUCAUGUAUAUUAUAUUACGUGUUGUAAGAAUUAAAUUAAGGCAUACAAUGUAUUUCUAGGGUUAUUUAUGUUUUGUUAAUUAAGUGAGCGUUUCAUGGUUGUGGGUGAUGAGGUGGCAGGGACGCUACGUGGCAGGUGCUCACGCAGGCUCGGUCAGUUCCUAGUCGGUGAGGGGUGUGAUUAGUCGACGGACUGCGUUGGCUGGGGGUGUUACGUGAUUGUGUCGGAAGUAUCCUGUCGUUAGGUGAGUUUGUGUUGGUGAAUUUUGUACUAUUGUUAUUUAUUUAGUUCUUUAUUGUGUAAUUACUUGUUCACAUAUAGUGAGGAAAGUGACUUUGUAACACAUAAUUAGGAGGUGUUUGAGGCCGACGUUGCGUUACAGCUGGGUUGUGCUUGUGCCCCUGCUUGUGCACAAGUAGACGCGAGUUGAUCGAGUGGUGUGAAGGAUUGUGACGAAUGUACCCUGCCAGUAGACAGAUGUCUUCAUGUCUUCAUUUGGAUGGUGCUUUGGGUACUUAACGUGUGGGAUCCGAGGUGUUGUAACAUAGCAGUAACCAGGACGCUAGGAAGGGAGGCACUGUGUUGGACCCAAUAAAGGUGUUUACUGCCA